GAUGAACGCUGGCGGCGUGCUUAACACAUGCAAGUCGAACGGAAAGGCUCCUGCUUGCAGGGGUACUCGAGUGGCGAACGGGUGAGUAACACGUGGGUGAUCUGCCCUGCACUUCGGGAUAAGCCUGGGAAACUGGGUCUAAUACCGGAUAGGACGAUGUUUUGGAUGCCAUUGUGGAAAGUUUUUUCGGUGUGGGAUGAGCUCGCGGCUUAUCCGCUUGUUGGUGGGGUAAUGGCCUACUAAGGCGUCGACGGGUAGCCGGCCUGAGAGGGUGUACGGCCACAUUGGGACUGAGAUACGGCCCAGAAUCCUACGGGAGGCAGCAGUGGGGAAUAUUGCACAAUGGGCGCAAGCCUGAGGCAGCGACGCCGGGUGGGGGAUGACGGCCUUCGGGUUGUAAACUCCUUUCGCUAGGGACGAAGCGCAAGUGACGGUACCUGGAGAAGAAGCACCGGCUAACUACGUG
rnacentral:rRNA from 1 species